AUUUGCGUUACUUUGAGCUACUUUUAAUUUAAUGGCUGCAUUAUUCUGAUGGUUCACUCACCCCAUUCAGUCGGUUGGGCUCAUCCUCUGGUCCUCUCCUCCCCGGACUUCCCCCACGGCGUCCUCCCAGUUCCCCCCUCACCUCCUCGCUUCCUCGGCCCCAGUGUUCCCCGGCUCCCUGGUCCCAGUCUCGUUGGUUUCCCUGUGCCAGUGUUUCCCUGGCAUCCACAUCUCCCUCCACUCCAGUCCCUCAACCCCUUUUCCCUCAAUAAACCUCCUUCGCUCUGA